rnacentral:rRNA from 1 species
UACGAAGGGGGCGAGCGUUGUUCGGAUUUACUGGGCGUAAAGGGCGCGCAGGCGGCGAUCUUUGUCAGGCGUGAAAGCCCCGGGCUUAACCUGGGAACUGCGCUUGGGACGGGAUUGCUGGAGACCGGGAGAGGAGAGUGGAAUUCCCAGUGUAGAGGUGAAAUUCGUAGAUAUUGGGAAGAACACCGGUGGCGAAGGCGGCUCUCUGGACCAUCACUGACACUGAGGCACGAAAGCGUGGGGAGCAAACAGG